UACGAAGGGGGCGAGCGUUGUUCGGAUUUACUGGGCGUAAAGGGCGCGCAGGCGGCCAUUCAAGUCAGGCGUGAAAGCCCCGGGCUCAACCUGGGAAUUGCGUCUGGGACUGGGUGGCUGGAGUUCGGGAGAGGAGCGUGGAAUUCCCAGUGUAGAGGUGUAAUUCGUAGAUAUUGGGAAGAACACCGGUGGCGAAGGCGGCGCUCUGGACCGAGACUGACGCUGAGGCGCGAAAGCGUGGGGAGCAAAC
rnacentral:rRNA from 1 species